AGGUUGUGGUGUGGGCAUUCUUUAUGCAGGUUCUCGAACCUAUUCCAUGCUUCCUUGAACGUCUCAUCAUGUUCUUGUUGGAAGGUAGCAAGUUUAUAUCUGAUUUC